rnacentral:rRNA from 1 species
UGGCUCAGAUUGAACGCUGGCGGCAUGCCUAACACAUGCAAGUCGAACGGAAACGAUGGGAGCUUGCUCCCAGGCGUCGAGUGGCGGACGGGUGAGUAAUACUUAGGAAUCUACCCAGUAGCGGGGGACAACUCGGGGAAACUCGAGCUAAUACCGCAUACGCUCUACGGAGGAAAGCAGGGGAUCUUCGGACCUUGCACUAUUGGAUGAGCCUAAGUCGGAUUAGCUAGUUGGUGAGGUAAAGGCUCACCAAGGCGACGAUCCGUAGCUGGUCUGAGAGGACGAUCAGCCACACUGGGACUGAGACACGGCCCAGACUCCUACGGGAGGCAGCAGUGGGGAAUAUUGGACAAUGGGGGCAACCCUGAUCCAGCAAUGCCGCGUGUGUGAAGAAGGCCUGCGGGUUGUAAAGCACUUUCAGUAGAGAAGAAAAGCCUAGGGUUAAUACCCCUGAGUCUUGACGUUACCUACAGAAGAAGCUCCGGCUAACUCCGUGCCAGCAGCCGCGGUAAUACGGAGGGAGCGAGCGUUAAUCGGAAUUACUGGGCGUAAAGCGCACGUAGGCGGCUUUGUAAGUCGGAUGUGAAAGCCCCGGGCUUAACCUGGGAAUGGCAUUCGAUACUGCUUAGCUAGAGUAUGGUAGAGGGAAGUGGAAUUUCCGGUGUAGCGGUGAAAUGCGUAGAUAUCGGAAGGAACACCGAUGGCGAAGGCAACUUCCUGGGCCAAUACUGACGCUGAGGUGCGAAAGCGUGGGUAGCAAACAGGAUUAGAUACCCUGGUAGUCCACGCCGUAAACGAUGAGAACUAGAUGUCGGGAGGAUCUGCCUUUCGGUGUCGCAGCUAACGCGUUAAGUUCUCCGCCUGGGGAGUACGCCGGCAACGGUAAAACUCAAA